rnacentral:rRNA from 1 species
ACGGGAGGCAGCAGUGGGGAAUAUUGCACAAUGGGGGAAACCCUGAUGCAGCAACGCCGCGUGAAGGAUGAAGGCCUUUGGGUCGUAAACUUCUGUUCUAAGGGAAGAUAGUGACGGUACCUUAGGAGCAAGUCCCGGCUAACUACGUGCCAGCAGCCGCGGUAAUACGUAGGGGGCAAGCGUUAUCCGGAAUUAUUGGGCGUAAAGAGUACGUAGGUGGUUUUCUAAGCACGGGGUUUAAGGCAAUGGCUUAACCAUUGUUCGCCUUGUGAACUGGAAGACUUGAGUGCAGGAGAGGAAAGCGGAAUUCCUAGUGUAGCGGUGAAAUGCGUAGAUAUUAGGAGGAACACCAGUGGCGAAGGCGGCUUUCUGGACUGUAACUGACACUGAGGUACGAAAGCGUGGGGAGCAAACAGGAUUAGAUACCCUGGUA